rnacentral:piRNA from 1 species
UGAACAGACAUGAACAAGGUCAAUGCUUC